ensembl:snoRNA Snord17 small nucleolar RNA, C/D box 17
GUGAAAUGAUGAUUCAGUUUAUCCAUUCGCUGAGUGUGCUGCGCUAGCCUUCUUCCAGGCCUCAGUUCCUGUUCUAGGAACUUGGGGCUGUGCAGCCUCCAGAUACACUGUAGUCUGCAAUGUUCUAUUGUGGAUUGCUUGUGUGCUGGUAGACUAGUGGUAAGAACGGCUGGUGUCAGCAGGGAUGGGUCCCUUUGGAUUCCAUCUUAACCAAGAUGAGUGGUGCAAAUCUGAUCAC